GACGAACGCUGGCGGCGUGCCUAAUACAUGCAAGUCGAACGCUGAAGGAGGAGCUUGCUUCUCUGGAUGAGUUGCGAACGGGUGAGUAACGCGUAGGUAACCUGCCUGGUAGCGGGGGAUAACUAUUGGAAACGAUAGCUAAUACCGCAUAAGAGUAGAUGUCGCAUGACAUUUGCUUAAAAGUUGCAAUUGCAUCACUACCAGAUGGACCUGCGGUGUAUUAGCUAGUUGGUGAGGUAACGGCUCACCAAGGCAACGAUACAUAGCCGACCGGAGAGGGUGGGCGGCCACACUGGGACUGAGACACGGCCCAGACGCCUACGGGAAGCAGCAGUAGGGAAUCUUCGGCAAGGGACGGAAGUCUGACCGAGAAACGCCGCGUGAGGGAAGAAGGGUGUCGGAUCGUAAAGCUCGGUUGUAAGAGAAGAACGAGUGUGAGAGUGGAAAGUUCACACUGUGACGGUAUCUUACCAGAAAGGGACGGCUAACUACGUG
rnacentral:rRNA from 1 species